CCUCGAUCGAUAGAGAAAACAGAAAGGAAAUCCGUUAUACUCCUCACUUGAUUUAAAAGAUGUCCCUUGAAAAAACCCGGCCCAAAAUCGUCCUGCACCGACUGAAUAUGCCAGUAUUGAUAUGAGUAAACUGGCACCUGUCGAGAAAAAAGACGACAAGAAAAGGGAUGACAAAAAAGGCGAUGAAAAGAAGGAAUAAACUGGCGAUCGUCGUUAAUAAAACAAGAGUACGUAAAGACUGUUACUACAUUUAUAAAGUUUUAUUUUGUUCUUCAUUAUAUAAUCUAGAUUUGAUCUCUAAACAAUAUUAAACCGAAUACUUUAUGAUUGUGUCUGUGUACAUAAUCUUUUGCCAUGAACAAACUUGAAUCUUGGCAUCUAUGCUACAGUUUGUGAAUGUAUUUUACUUGCCUUUAUAAGGCAACAACAUUACACUGACUUUAACACAGCAUUUUGAAUAGAAUAUUGUUUUAAUCGUAGUUUUACUUUUGUUAUUUUAAUUAUCAUGGUUAAACCAUGUAAACUUUUAUUUAUGUAGAAAUUAAGUGUAGAAAUUCGAUAGAAAAAUCAAGCAAUGUCAAGGAGUGUGAUGGAAAACUCUUUAAAUUAUUUCUUUACGAUUGAAUGAUUUCAUAUGCAUUAGUGUAAGAGAUGUUUACGAAUAAAACAAUUUCGUGAUCAUUA